UACGGGGGGGGCAAGCGUUGUUCGGAAUUACUGGGCGUAAAGGGCGCGUAGGCGGCCUUCUAAGUCGGACGUGAAAUCCCUCGGCUUAACCGAGGAACUGCGUCCGAUACUGAAAGGCUUGAAUCCGGGAGAGGGAUGUGGAAUUCCAGGUGUAGCGGUGGAAUGCGCAGAUAUCAGGAAGAACACCCGUGGCGAAGGCGGCUCUCUGGGACGGUACUGACGCUGAGACGCGAAAGCGUGGGGAGCGAACAGG
rnacentral:rRNA from 1 species